AAAGAUUAAGCCAUGCAUGUGUAAGUAUAAGCCCUUCCUUAGUGUGAAACCGCAAACGGCUCAUUAAAUCAGUCAUAAUUCAUUAGUCGACGGUUACCCUUACUCGGAUAACUGUGGCAAUUCUAGAGCUAAUACGUGCACUUGAGCUCCGACGCCGAUUGGUUUUACGGGAGACUAGUUCGAUCGAUCCACGUCCUCGCGACGUGUUCAUCCUGCUUUCUCCUUAGCCUCUCGGGGGAAGGGCGCAGUUAUUAGAAUCAUAAACCGAGAGAGUCGAGCUUUCGAGUUCGAAACCCUCUUUGGCUAUGAUGACUCUGGAUAACGUUUGCCGAGCGCUGAGGCCUCUGAGCCGGCGCUGCGACUUACGAGUGACUGCCCUAUCAGCUUUAGAUUGUAGGAUAUAGGCCUACGACGGCUGUAACGGGUAACGGGGAAUCAGGGUUCGAUUCCGGAGAGGGAGCCUGAGAAACGGCUACCACAUCUAAGGAAGGCAGCAGGCACGCAAAUUACCCAAUCCCGGCUCGGGGAGGUAGUGACGAUAAAUACCGAUGCGGGAACUCAUCCGAGGCCUCGCAAUCGGAAUGAGCUCACUUUAAAAAAGUGGGCGAUGAUCGAUUGGAGGGCAAGUCUGGUGCCAGCAGCCGCGGUAAUUCCAGCUCCAAUAGCGUAUAUUAAAGUUGUUGCGGUUANNNNNNNNNNNNNNNUUUAGAGUGGCUCAAAGCAGGCACAAAAAUCAAUACGCCCGAAUAUUAAUGCAUUGGAUGAUGGAACAUGACCUCGGUUCUGAUUCUUUUUCUCGGUUUUAACCGAACCCGAGGUAAUGAUUAACGGGAACGGGCGGGGGCAUUAGUACUGCGGCGCGAGGGGUGAAAUCCAUUGACCGUCGCAUGACUACCUACUGCGAAAGCAUUUGCCAAGUACGUUUCCAUUAAUCAAGAACGAAAGUUAGAGGAUCGAAGGCGAUCAGAUACCGCCCUAGUUCUAACCGUAAACUAUGCCAACUAGCGAUGAGUGUACAGUCAAUCCCAAGACUGCGCUCGCAGCCCCCGGGAAACCGAAGUUUUUGGGUUCCGGGGGUAGUAUGGUUGCAAAUCUGAAACUUAAAGGAAUUGACGGAAGGGCACCACCAGGAGUGGAGCCUGCGGCUUAAUUUGACUCAACACGGGAAAACUUACCAGGCCCGGACACCGGAAGGAUUGACAGAUUGAGAGCUCUUUCUCGAUUCGGUGGCUAGUGGUGCAUGGCCGUUCUUAGUUGGUGGAGCGAUUUGUCUGGUUAAUUCCGAUAACGAACNAGACUCUAUCCUACUAAUUAGACGGCGNAUCGUUUCCCUGAGGAGGG
rnacentral:rRNA from 1 species